rnacentral:rRNA from 1 species
UACGGGGGAUGCAAGCGUUAUCCGGAAUCAUUGGGCGUAAAGCGCCUGUAGGUGGUUUAAUAAGUCUGUUGUUAAAGACUAAGGCUUAACCUUAGAAAAGCAAUGGAAACUAAUAGACUCGAGUAUGAUAGGGGUAGAGGGAAUUUCUAGUGUAGCGGUGAAAUGCGUAGAUAUUAGAAAGAACACCGGUGGCGAAGGCGCUCUACUGGAUCAUUACUGACACUCAGAGGCGAAAGCUAAGGUAGCAAAAGGGAUUAGAUACCCCUGUAGUCUUAGCCGUAAACGAUGGAUACUAGAUGUGGUGUUUUUAUGCGGUAUCGUAGCUAACGCGUUAAGUAUCCCGCCUGGGGAGUACGCCCGCAAGGGUG